UAAAGGGUCCUUUUAAGGACCACCAUCAGUUCUUUUCAGAGCUUUU
rfam:Acyrthosiphon pisum strain LSR1 Contig28851, whole genome shotgun sequence.